AGAACGAACGCUGGCGGCAGGCCUCAAACAUGCAAGUCUAGGGGGUGUAGCAAUACAUCACCGGCGGACGGGUGCGUAACACGUGGGAAUAUACCUUUUGGUUCGGAACAACGCAGGGAAACUUGCGCUAAUACCGAAUGUGCCCUUACGGGGAAAGAUUUAUCGCCAAAGGAUUAGCCCGCGUAGGAUUAGCUAGUUGGUGAGGUAAUGGCUCACCAAGGCUCCGAUCCUUAGCUGUUCUGAGAGGAAGAUCAGCCACACUGGGACUGAGACACGGCCCAGACUCCUACGGGGGGCAGCAGUGAGGAAUUUUCCGCAAUGGAGGCAACUCUGACGGAGCAACGCCGCGUGCAGGAGGAAGGUUUUCGGAUCGUAAACUGCUUUUCUCGGGGACGAGCAAGGACGGUACCCGAGGAAGAAGCCCCGGCUAACUACGUGCCAGCAGCCGC
rnacentral:rRNA from 1 species